rnacentral:lncRNA from 1 species
ACGUCCACGUCAAAUUCCACUUUUGUCCAAAGAAGGGUAAAAUCGUCAAAUUACACCAAUGGAAAAGAAAUUACAAUGAGAACUAGGGAUGGGUCGUCACAAUCUACCCCCUUAAGAAAAUUUCGUCCCCAAAAUUUAAAAUCAUUUGCUACACAAAACUCGAAGAUAGGAAUAAUAAAAUAUAUGUACGUGACGAAGAAAUUAAGUUAGAGCGGUUGCACAAAAAGGGAAAAUGCCAUUCUGUUGAUCGGAUCAUAUUUAUAUAUAUUUUUACUUCGAAUUCACUCGUCUUUUCUUAGUUAGUUCCUUAUAUUUUUGAGCUAUUUACGUUAUUUUUGUGUUUUUAGGAUUUGUUAUGCAAAGAAAAUAAAAAUAGAACAAGUGAAAUUUUAUGUAAUAAAUUCGUCAAACUGUCUGUGUAGAUCAUCUUUUAAAUAAAAUUAAUAAAAGAAAUAAUAAUGAUAAAUCAUGAUGAUGUUUGAAACAUCAUCAUGAUUCAUGUUUUGUUGCAGAAAAAAUAAGAGGAAGUCCACAGCGUCGGUGGGGAAGAGGGAACGCAGAAAGGAAGUAUUUCGUAUAAAGUGAUGAGCAAUUUUUAAUGAGAUGGGUGCUCUUCCUAGACGUGGCAGCGUGAAAGAAUCCAAGGAGGUCAGGGGGUCCAAAAGGUGAGGCCUUGCAGCUGGUGAGGGAAAAGGAGAAGCGGAAAGAAUAAACGAAAAAAAAAAGAAAUGUGGAGAUAAUAACAAAAGGGAGGAGGGCAGGACAGAGAAGGAAAAAAUAAAAAGAUGGAAAGAGAGACAAGUGGGGGGAGUCAGUGAAAAAGAGGGCUGUUGGGGGCGAGAGAAGAAGAGGCUGCCUUGCGCAGCCUGAGCGCAGGAAACGGAGAGAAGACGUGCGGGAAAGAGAGAGACCACAGUGCACUGUGAUCAAGAAAACAGAAAAAAAAAAUAUAAAGGAGAAGGCUCCUUUGAGCAGCGGAAGAGAGGGGUGCGAAGGAGAGGCACAGAGAAAAGCAAGAAAAGAAAGAGUCAGGCGGAGAGACUGGCGCGGGGAGCAGCAAGGGCAGCGUGGGCACGAACGCAGCAGAUCAUCUAUUCUCGGUUAAAUCUUUCUAAAUUUAUAUUUUAUUUCUGUUUUAAUAAUGUGUAACUAAAUUUAUUUUGGCUAGAGGUUAAUUCAAAGCCAUGAAUAUAUUUGUAAUAUGAAUUGAUUACCUUCAGUUGUGAUUUCUAAGUUGUGAUUUAAUUUGCUUAACUGCUUGAUUGAUAACUUAUUUUUGUAUGUCGAUUAAGGAUGCAUACUUAAUUUACAUGCAUGAAUUUGAUGCUAGAAUAUAAAUGAAUUUCACCUAAUCGUUAUGAACUUAUAUUCACAAGUAGUGAAGGUUGUUAUCUACAAUCGUGUUAAGUAAAUUCUUGGCAAGAGUAUCAUGCUUUUCAUAGUUACGAAUGCCUCGUCAAUGCUUAUAGUUUUCACAAAGUUUAAUGAUCUUUGAUUGUAUCUCUAUUGUGCUUUUCACGUAGGGGACUUUUGAAGAAUGUUUUGAAUUGUUGUAUGCGUUUUCCCGUCCAAUUCAAUAACUUAAGGAAAACUUGAAGAUUAAAAAAGUGCUGUUCACGGUUAAUCUGAAGUGUUGAGAUUCACAACUUAUUGAAAGAACAACUGAAAAUCAAUUUAGGUUGCAUAUGUGUCAUGUGUGGAGAAGAACCCUCUAGCUAAUCCAUCACCUAUCCUUUCACCUUAAUUUCAUGUUUUUGUCAAUUCUGUAAUUUAUUUAAGUUUAAUUUACUUCUCAUCAAAACCAAACCCCCCAUUAUUAAAUUAUAUUAUUUAGUUAGUUUUCAUUGUUGUUAGUCUUUUAAUUCAAUUUCCGUCCAUUUCAAUUCCUAGUGUCUAUUUUGAUUGUUUUUAUUAUUUUGAGUCAUUUUAAGUGUGUUUCGAAUUAUUAGAGUUUUUAGCCUAGUUUUGUGUCCUUGAGUCUUGUUUAAUAUUUUUUACUUUGUUUUUUAUGUUUUUAAGAGGUUUUAGCAAGCCCUCCUAAUCCCCGGCCUAGAACGAUACCCUACUUAUACUUAUACUACAAUUGACAAAAAGAGGGUUUAAUUUUGUGUGUGAACUUAUUUUACGCAUCAAAUUUUGGCGCCGUUGCCGGGGAUUAGCAAAGUUGCUAAUCCCUUGUCUUAAGUCUUGUUUAAAUUGUUUAGUUUUUUUUUAUUUUUUUAUUUUUUUAUUUUUAUUUUUUAUUUUAUUAUUAUUUUAUUUUAUUUUAUUUUUUUAUAAUUACCCUGUUUUGUUUACUUAUGAUAUUUGAUUUAGUUUUAUUUCUUUGAUAUCAGGUACUAA